UCUCUUUUUUAUUAACCACAAACUUGAGAGC
rnacentral:piRNA from 1 species